rnacentral:misc_RNA from 1 species
UAUAGGGUUUUGAAGCAUUACAGCAAUGCGAAACAGACAAUGCCACUCAUCUAUGUGAAACUUUACAUGUAUCAGAUUUUCAGGGGACUGGCAUAUAUCCACACGGUUCCUGGGGUUUGCCAUCGGGAUUUGAAACCUCAAAAUAUUUUGGUUGAUCCCCUCACUCACCAAGUUAAGCUGUGCGAUUUUGGAAGUGCAAAAGUGCUGGUCAAAGGUGAAGCUAA